GGUCUUACGGGUUUGGAACGACAUGAGGGUGAGUCAUUAAUGACAUAAUUUUAAUAUUUGGGUGAACUAACCCUUUAAGGACUUUUACAUUUAGAAAAGUUGUCUUAUAAAUUUUGUAUGCAUUUAAAAUAAUUCACAGUACUUUAAUAAACUUUUCAAGGUUGCUCUCCUGUAACUGAUGACAAGUCCUAUGUAAUAUAUAUUUCUUUGUCAGUAACCUGGAUUCAUUUCUCGGAGAAACAAAUCCACACUAUAAAUAUUUCACUUGAUUUGUAAAUCAAACCCAAAGAGUGUCCUCCCAACAGUUUUGUGAAACUUUCCAAUAUGAAAGCCAUUAGGCAAAGGGCAAUGGAGACUCCAUUGAAGCAGACGGGCCUGUUAAUGUCACCAAUAUGCUAUUAACGUCCAUUUAAAAAAAUCUUUCUCCAUCUAAUUUGGAAUCCAUCAGUGCAAACUUAUCCGCCUGUCUCCAUUACUUGUAGCAAUAAAGACAGAAAUGCAGCACGAGUGAGCGAGACGGGCGGCUGAGCUUCCUCUGUUAUCACUGGGCUGUUUUAUCUUCUGCUCCUUCUGAGUGUUUAUGCACAUACUGUUCUCCCAUCACGCUACUCAUGCAUCCUAACAGAGUUCCCAGAGCCAGAUUUCCUUCAAAAAACCCAGUUGUCUGAAAUGGGGAGAGCUAGAGUUACCGCCAGCCAUCAGAGGUGUUUUACAAGAAAGUCCCGUUCAAGGCAACCUUGAUGAAUCCCGUGCAUAAGAGAUCAGACCUGAUGUCAGAGCUCAUAAGAGUCGGAAGCAUCAGUGAAGGACGAGCGGCGCGGCGCGUCUCUCACUGAUAAAUUGCAUAAUGGACACCUCGGCUGGUCUGGGCCUUUGGGACGCGGGUCAUCUUACAGUGGCCAGAUGCUGUUUCAGACACACGAAUGAAGACCACCGGUGACUCGGGAAUGUGUCUGAUCUUUCCGGACACGACAGCGCUCACGCCGUUUGGCUGAAUAAUGCAUUGCUCACACUUGAGUGAAGUGGAGCUUCAGCGAGACGAGCUCUCACCGGCCGCCGUUCCCUGUGUUGAUGAGCGUCCAUCAUGUUAACAACAGCAUUUAACGUCUCAUUGGACAAAGCAGGAGGAUGGAGCUCCUUUCAUCACGAUGGUCGCACAGAUUUUGGAGCUGAAAGAAGAGGUUGAUUUACUACCUUUGGUGGACUGUGGAAGACAGUCAAAGGUCAGACUCACAGCCUGUCAUUCAGUGUGUGUGCUGUUCUCUGUUCACGAUAGAGCUGCUUGUGAGUGCUUUCUCCAUCUAGAGACUACUUGUGGAUUGUUGUGAUGUUUUUAUCAGCUGUUUAGACUCUUAUUCCGACAGCACCCAUUCACUGCAGAGAGAAUUCAUUGAUGAGCAAGUGAUGUAAUGCUGAAUUUUUCCAAAUCUAUUCUGAUGAAGAAACAAACUCAUCUACAUCUUGAAUGGCCUGAGGGUGAGUAAAAUUUCAGCAAAUUUGAAUUUUUGGGGGAACUAUUCCUUAAAAAUAAUUAACAAUUCUU
ensembl:lncRNA